rnacentral:piRNA from 1 species
UGACACAGGACAAGAAAAUGAGCA